rnacentral:rRNA from 1 species
GUAGACCCCUUUUCUGGGGAAGAAAAUGACGGUACCCGAGGAAUAAGUCUCGGCUAACUACGUGCCAGCAGCCGCGGUAAGACGUAGGAGGCGAGCGUUAUCCGGAAUUAUUGGGCGUAAAGGGCGUGUAGGCGGCCUUCCAAGUCUUUGGUGAAAUCACCCAGCUCAACUGGGAGGGUGUCAAAGAAACUGGAGGGCUUGAUGGCAGCAGAGGGGGGUGGAAUUCCCGGUGUAGUGGUGAUAUGCGUAGAUAUCGGGAGGAACACCACUGGCGAAGGCGGCCCCCUGGGCUGUUCCUGACGCUGAUGCGCGAAAGCAUGGGGAGCAAACAAGAUUAGAUACCCUGGUAGUCCACCCCACCAACGAUGGAUACUAGGUAUGGGGGGGAUCGACCCCCUCCGUGCCGAAGCUUACUCUUUAAUUAUCCCCCCUGGGGAUUACGGCCGCCAGGCUAAAACUCAAAGGAAUUGAUGGGGGGG